GCGAGAGUGGCGGAAUUGGUAGACGCACUGGAUUUAGGUUCCAGCGCCGCAAGGCGUGCGAGUUCGAGUCUCGCCUUUCGCACCA
rnacentral:tRNA from 3 species